AUUGAACGCUGGCGGCAGGCCUAACACAUGCAAGUCGAGCGGAUGAAGGGAGCUUGCUCCUGGAUUCAGCGGCGGACGGGUGAGUAAUGCCUAGGAAUCUGCCUGGUAGUGGGGGAUAACGUCCGGAAACGGGCGCUAAUACCGCAUACGUCUUGAGGGAGAAAGUGGUGGAUCUUCGGACCUCACGCUAUCAGCUGAGCCUAGGUCGGAUUAGCUAGUUGGUGGGGUAAAGGCCUACCAAGGCGACGAUCCGUAACUGGUCUGAGAGGAUGAUCAGUCACACUGGAACUGAGACACGGUCCAGACUCCUACGGGAGGCAGCAGUGGGGAAUAUUGGACAAUGGGCGAAAGCCUGAUGCAGCAAUGCCGCGUGUGUGAAGAAGGUCUUCGGAUUGUAAAGCACUUUAAGUUGGGAGGAAGGGAAGUAAGAGAAUACAUUGAUGUUUUGACGUUACCAACAGAAAAAGCAACGGCUAACUUCGUG
rnacentral:rRNA from 1 species